rnacentral:rRNA from 1 species
UACGUAGGUGGCGAGCGUUGUCCGGAUUUACUGGGCGUAAAGGGAGCGUAGGCGGACUUUUAAGUGAGAUGUGAAAUACUCGGGCUCAACUUGAGUGCUGCAUUUCAAACUGGAAGUCUAGAGUGCAGGAGAGGAGAAUGGAAUUCCUAGUGUAGCGGUGAAAUGCGUAGAGAUUAGGAAGAAUACCAGUGGCGAAGGCGAUUCUCUGGACUGUAACUGACGCUGAGGCUCGAAAGCGUGGGGAGCAAACAGG